rnacentral:lncRNA from 1 species
GAAUUCCAGCCCUCCCCUGAGCUGGGUGUGGGUCCAGCCCCCAGCCCAGCAGCUGCCGGGGCAGAUAAGGGGUCCUGGCCUGCCCCACCCAGCCUGGGGGCAGAUACUGAGGUGGCUCCACAACGAACAUUUCCCCCCAAAAUCGCCCAAAUCCUCUCCCCCAAAAUCUCCCUCCUGGCUCCAUCCUGGAGUGAGCCUCUGGUGGGACUCGCUGCUGGGGCAAUGUGUGCAGAGUGAAGCAGCUCCCGGAGCAGGGCCAGGCUCCAGCAUGGGCAGCUCGGACACGGAGCGGAGCGCGUCCUACGAGGACGAGGCCGGGGGGCUCGGGGGGGUGGUCAGCACCAUCUCCAGCAGCAGGAGCCCCCUGCAGCCCCCCGCCGCCGACGACGGGGAGCCCUUCAGCACCUACUUCGACAGCAAGAUCCCCAUCCCCGAGGAUGAGACGGUGAGUGGGGAACCUGCUGGGGAGAACCUGGCCCAGGCACCCACCAGAGCCAUUGCCACGGGCCCGGUUCCCCGGCCGGGCUGAGCCGGGAACGGAGCUGGGAGAGGGGCAGGGAGAGGGGCAGGGCUGGCCGUGCUUUGGGGGAUGUGGGGGGGUUAAUGAUUGAUCCCACGGGAUUUGGCUCCAGCUUGGAGCAGCCAAAGAGCAGAGAAAGGCCUUGCACAGCUCAGGGAGGGGUCCGGGCUCUUUGUCCCCUUAUCAGGGAGCAGGAGAUGUGGCUGGCCUCGUGACGCUGUU